UUAUAAGAGCAAAUAUAAUCAGUGAGAAAACUAAGAGAUAGAGAGAUAAUGGCAGAAAUCCUAAGUUUGCCAAAUUUUGUUGCAUUUAAAGCAACACAUGGUACAGCUCCAUUCAAAUACUUGGGUGUUGUUGAUGAUAACAGCCAAUAUCAAAAUUAUGUUGGCUAUUACACUGACAGUGUUUUCAGUGACAAGGUUAAAUUCUCAAUCGAAUUCGUUCGCUGCUACAGGUGGGGUUGCCCACAUUAGAUCCUGUUACAAUAACAAAUAUUUGGUCAGCAUUGGCUGAUGAUCAACAACCUGAUGCAGAACUUGCCACUGAAUCAAAUUAAGGAAUGAGCUAGCUAGGGUCACCUAGCUUCUCGAUCGCUUUCAAGGACACUGUGUUUCUUCAACAAAUUUGGGAAUCUCUCUUCUUUUCUUUAUUGCAUUUCUUUUCUUAUUUCUUUCAGACUUUUUCCAAUUAUGUGCUGUAAUAAGUAUGCACUUUUUAAAGUGCUGAUUGUUUCUUUUUUUUUUGUUGUACUUGUUGGAUAAGAUCAACCAGAUUUACUCAACAUUUCCCAUUAUCAAGUCCAAUCUUUUCAUUAACUAGUGUGUUUGUUCCCAUAAUUAAUUUGCAAGUCUUCCUUU